AAAAAACAAAACAAAACACUUGCUUUGGGAGGAACUGUGAUGCUUAAAAUAUACAACUUUGGGAACAGUGGGACCAAACUCUUUUUAGCAGUUUUUACUCUG